rnacentral:rRNA from 1 species
GCCUAAAGCGUCCGUAGCCGGCUUUGUAAGUUUUCGGUUAAAUCUAUAUGCUCAACAUAUAGGCUGCCGGAAAUACUGCAAAGCUAGGGAGUGGGAGAGGUAGACGGUACUCCGUAGGAAGGGGUAAAAUCCUUUGAUCUAUGGAUGACCACCUGUGGCGAAGGCGGUCUACCAGAACACGUUCGACGGUGAGGGAUGAAAGCUGGGGGAGCAAACCGGAUUAGAUACCCGGGUAGUCCCAGCUGUAAACUAUGCAAACUCAGUGAUGCAUUGGCUUGUGGCCAGUGCAGUGCCGCAGGGAAGCCGUUAAGUUUGCCGCCUGGGAAGUACGUACGCAAGUAUGAAACUUAAAGGAAUUGGCGGGGGAGCACCACAAGGGGUGAAGCCUGCGGUUCAAUUGGAGUCAACGCCAGAAAUCUUACCCGGAGAGACAGCAGGAUGAAGGUCAAGCUGAAGACUUUACCAGACAAGCUGAGAAGUGGUGCAUGGCCGUCGCCAGCUCGUGCCGUGAGAUGUCCUGUUAAGUCAGGUAACGAGCGAGAUCCUUGCCUCUAGUUGCCACCAUUACUCUCAGGAGUAGUGGGGCGAAUUAGCGGGACUGCCGUAGUUAAUACGGAGGAAGGAGAGGGCCACGGCAGGUCAGUAUGCCCCGAA